CUAGCUGUUCUGCAGACAUGGAUGUGGUGAUCAGACACAAACACCUAUGUCACGGUGAAGAACAGUUCACUAUG